ACUCAGCAAAAGCUCAACAGGGAAGAAGCCACAGGUUAACUUGCUUUUGAGAGAUUAUGAUUUAAAAAAGCAACAGCGGAAAAGGCGUGUCGUUAUCAAAUAUUUCCUUGGAUGCCCCGAGGAAUGCAGGGAAGCUAUAGCGUCUCUGAUUGUUGCUGCUGCUAGAUUUUCUAAUCUACCAGAGUUACGCGACCUUCGACAAAUAUUUCAAAAGAGAUAUGGAGUAUGUGAAUCAGGAGGUCACUAUUUGGAUAUUGAAGCAUGUUGGUGAUUUGAAUGUCGCUGCUGGAUUUGCAUAUGGAGCAAGACGUAUGGAUCUUGCUGAUUGUUAUGUUAAUAGUGAAUGUGUUAAGCGGAUGCUGCAGGCCAAUCGGGUUUUUGUUUUUACUUGCACUAUAUUUAUAUAUCAGAUAAUAGGCAUAGUGAUUUAAGAGUUUUUUCCCGCUUCUCUGACUGUUGUAUUUAUAUAUUCCCUUGCUGUUAAGGUGGUGUUGGCAAAAAAAGUUGUUGUGUUGUUCUCAACUUCCUCACCUCACCUGAUUACUGGACGCAGAAAAUGUAGAAAUACCAACAGGACCCACAGGAGUAACACUGGAAGGUUGAGAAUCAGGUACUAGAACAGUAGGAAGAGUUUUUUUUUCUUCAUAAAUAACUCUUGGAUUAAAAGAGAGUACUAGGGGUACUCAUCCCUUACAAGAGAAACAGGUAAAACCUGAACUGCAAUAACAGAAAAUCAUCUACAUAAAAGAGGGUUUUUAAACCACUCAUAGAAAUUACAAUUAAUUCUAUCCUUUGCUACAAUUGCAAGCCACCACCACGUAUACCAAAGAAUCGAGUAGAAAACUUCGUCACCGUCAAAUACCGCAUUAUUGAAAAUCAUGUCGUUCCUCGACUUCCAAAUACACCACCAAAUAGUCAACCAAAUUGCCGACGCCGUUUUAGUUGGAAGUCUGGCCGACAGCAAGUUCACAUUCGACAGCAAUUGAGAGCAACAAUCAGCAGCAUAUAUGUUAUCUAGAUCCAACCAAAGAGAUAUGUUUCGCCACAGACUAUAUUGAUGAAAUGGAAAUUGGCCGGAAAAGCAGCACAAUAUUGAUGAAAUGGUGGCCUAGGUAUACCACUCAUCUGUGAAGGAAAACUCUGUGCUUGGAAAUGGAAUAGCUGGAUUGGAGGGUAUUCUUACAUGUUUUACUUUAGUAUGCUUUACUUUUCAAAGAGAAAUCAAUCAUUCGUUUUAGUUUUUGCUUACCACUUCAUGUUGAUGAAUGAUGUCUUAUGUAUUGAGAGAA